GAGGGAUCAUUACUGAGUUUACGCUCUACAACCCUUUGUGAACAUACCUAUAACUGUUGCUUCGGCGGGUAGGGUCUCCGUGACCCUCCCGGCCUCCCGCCCCCGGGCGGGUCGGCGCCCGCCGGAGGAUAACCAAACUCUGAUUUAACGACGUUUCUUCUGAGUGGUACAAGCAAAUAAUCAAAACUUUUAACAACGGAUCUCUUGGUUCUGGCAUCGAUGAAGAACGCAGCGAAAUGCGAUAAGUAAUGUGAAUUGCAGAAUUCAGUGAAUCAUCGAAUCUUUGAACGCACAUUGCGCCCGCCAGCAUUCUGGCGGGCAUGCCUGUUCGAGCGUCAUUUCAACCCUCAAGCUCUGCUUGGUGUUGGGGCCCUACAGCUGAUGUAGGCCCUCAAAGGUAGUGGCGGACCCUCCCGGAGCCUCCUUUGCGUAGUAACUUUACGUCUCGCACUGGGAUCCGGAGGGACUCUUGCCGUAAAACCCCCCAAUUUUCCAAAGGUUGACCUCGGAUCAGGUAGGAAUACCCGCUGAACUUAAGC
rnacentral:rRNA from 1 species